UACGGAGGAUGCAAGCGUUAUCCGGAUUCAUUGGGUUUAAAGGGUGCGUAGGCGGAACAAUAAGUCAGUGGUGAAAUCCUACAGCUUAACUGUAGAACUGCCAUUGAUACUGUCGUUCUUGAAUGCAGUUGAGGUUAGCGGAAUGUGUAAUGUAGCGGUGAAAUGCGUAGAUAUUACACAGAACACCUAUUGCGUAGGCAGCUGACUAAACUGUGAUUGACGCUGAGGCACGAAAGCGUGGGGAUCAAACAGG
rnacentral:rRNA from 1 species